UUCUGCUGCAGCAGGAUGCCAUGCCCAAGUACGCCUAACAUGUCAAUCAGCCACCCUAGAAUGUACCUCCUCCCAUGAAUACAAGCUUCCAGCCGAACCUUUUUGUCAUUCAAAACAGCCAACAUUUGUUGCAUUGUCUUCAUUCUUCAUUUGAGGACUUCACAAAUGGAAGGGAGCCUUUAAUUCAUUCUGCCAAGUAUUCUCAAGGUAAGCUUGACUUCAAUGCUCUACCUUCUUCCAUGUUUCCACCUGCAUUAAUGCAAAGACCCAUUUCAUUAUUUCAGAAACACCUGCUGCUUUGUCAAUAUUCAACAACAACCAACCAACAAAACCUUCAAGGUAUUCACCAUCGCAGCUAUUUCAAGUUCCAGUUAUAUGCUUCACAUUCUAUCAGCAUGAGUUAGCUUUAGAAAUGCUAGAUAUGCAUUGAACAGCACGAUCAUUUCAAAGAGAUAAAUGCAUAAUCAGUUCACUUCGAUAUAGAACCAACAACAUGUAACCCUACACCGAUUUACGCUUGAGAACCACAGCCAUUUACUUAGCACACACAACACAUUUGAUUCGUACAAAUAGAAGGAAUAAAAGUAGGACUUAGCUUCUGAAAAGGGAGGAAGCAGCUGACUGCUCUGCUCAACGUGGCUCCGAGUCAGCGGCGGCGAGCGAACGAGGCCAGUCGCCGGACAAACGGGCAGAAUCCGGCUUCGAUAACAGCCUACGGCCGCGGUGGGCGGCGUCGGAACCAAAGAGAACCGCGACUCGAACCAAGAGAGAGAGAGAGGUCGGGGGCUGGGGUGACGAACGACGACUGUAAGUCGCCGG
rnacentral:lncRNA from 1 species